UUAGUGGCGGACGGGUGAGUAACGCGUGGGUAACCUGCCUUACACAGGGGGAUAACACUUAGAAAUAGGUGCUAAAACCGCAUAAGCGCACAGCUUCGCAUGAAGCGGUGUGAAAAACUCCGGUGGUGUAAGAUGGACCCGCGUCUGAUUAGCUUGUUGGCGGGGUAACGGCCCACCAAGGCGACGAUCAGUAGCCGGCCUGGGAGGGCGGACGGCCACAUUGGGACUGAGACACGGCCCAGACUCCUACGGAAGGCAGCAG
rnacentral:rRNA from 1 species